GUAAAAAUUAGUUAACCUAUAUAACAUAAGCCUGUCAAGCUUAAAUAAUCACAGAUAUUUUUA
rnacentral:tRNA from 1 species